CCUACGGGUGGCAGCAGUGAGGAAUAUUGGUCAAUGGUCGGGAGACUGAACCAGCCAAGCCGCGUGAGGGAUGAAGGUACAGAGUAUCGUAAACCUCUUUUGUCAGGGAACAAAGGCGGGGACGCGUCCCCGGAUGAGUGUACCUGACGAAAAAGCAUCGGCUAACUCCGUGCCAGCAGCCGCGGUAAUACGGGGGAUGCGAGCGUUAUCCGGAUUUAUUGGGUUAAAAGGGUGCGCGGGCGGUCUGUUAAGUCAGCGGUCAAAGCCCGGGGCCAACCCCCGGCCCGCCGUUGAAACUGGCAGGCUCGAGUUGGAGAGAAGUAGGCGGAAUGCGCGGUGUAGCGGUGAAAUGCAUAGAUAUCGCGCAGAACUCCGAUUGCGAAGGCAGCAUGCCGGAUCAACACUGACGCUGAGGCACGAAAGCGUGGGUAUCGAACAGGAUUAGAUACCCUAGUAGUC
rnacentral:rRNA from 1 species